GUGUGAAUGUGUAAACAAGUGUAUAUGUGUGAGUGUGUGAGUGAUUGUGUGAUAUGAGUGUAAAUAAGUGUCUAUGGGAGUGUGUGUGAAUGUGUAAACAAGUGUAUAUGUGUGAGUGUGUGAGUGAUUGUGUGAUUAUGAGUGUAAAUAAGUCUAUGGGAGUGUGUGUGUGAAUGUGUAAAUAAGUGUAUAUGUGUGAGUGUGAGUGAUUGUGUGAUUAUGAGUGUAAAUAAGUCUAUGUGAGUGUGUGAAUGUGUAAACAAGUGUAUAUGUGUGAGUGUGUGAGUGAUUGUGUGAUAUGAGUGUAAAUAAGUAUAUGUGUGUGUGUGUGAAUGUGUAAACAAGUGUAUAUGUGUGAGUGUGUGAGUGAUUGUGUGAUAUGAGUGUAAAUAAGUGUCUUUGGGAGUGUGUGUGUGAAUGUGUAAACAAGUGUAUAUGUGUGAGUGUGUGAGUGAUUGUGUGAUUAUGAGUGUAAAUAAGUCUAUGGGAGUGUGUGUGUGAAUGUGUAAACAAGUGUAUAUGUGUGAGUGUGUGAGUGAUUGUGUGAUUAUGAGUGUAAAUAAGUCUAUGUGAGUGUGUGAAUGUGUAAACAAGUGUAUAUGUGUGAGUGUGUGAGUGAUUGUGUGAUAUGAGUGUAAAUAAGUCUAUGGGAGUGUGUGUGUGAAUGUGUAAACAAGUGUAUAUGUGUGAGUGUGUGAGUGAUUGUGUGAUUAUGAGUGUAAAUAAGUCUAUGGGAGUGUGUGUGUGAAUGU